rnacentral:lncRNA from 1 species
UGUGCAGAGUCCCAAACCCAAAAUCUCAAAGCAGAAUAUAGAAACAUAGGUUUGGUUUUAGGUCUUAUGUUUAAGUCUUUAAUCCGUUUGAAGUCAGGUAGCAGGAUGCCUCCAGCUUUGUUCUUUUUGCUUAGGAUUGUCUUGGCUAUAUGAGCACUUUUUUGGUUCCAUAUGAAAUUUAAAGUCAUUUUGUCUGUGAAGAAAGUCAGUGGUAGCUUGAUGGGGAUAGCAUUGAAUCUAUAAAUUACUUUGGGCAGUAUGGCCAUUUUCACCACCAUAUUGAUUCUUCCUAUCCGUUAGCAUGGAAGGUUUUUCUGUUUGUUUGUGUCCUCUCUUAUUUCCUUGAGCAGUGG